UACGGAGGGUGCAAGCGUUGUCCGGAUUUAUUGGGUUUAAAGGGUGCGUAGGCGGUUUAAUAAGUCAGUGGUGAAAUACGGCAGCUCAACUGUCGAGGUGCCAUUGAUACUGUUGGACUUGAGUACAGACGAGGUAGGCGGAAUUGACGGUGUAGCGGUGAAAUGCUUAGAUAUCGUCAAGAACACCGAUAGCGAAGGCAGCUUACUAGGCUGUAACUGACGCUGAGGCACGAAAGUGUGGGGAUCAAACAGG
rnacentral:rRNA from 1 species